GAUGGCCUUGCUCAUAUCAGGUGUCUGAAGGGGGCAGGUUCUGAGGAUCUGUGUCCUGAUGGCUUCUGAAGCUUCUACUCCAGAUUCAAAGGCAACAGUCUUCAGGAGAACCCAACAGUUCACAUCUUUAUUUGGUUAUGCCGCCUGGCUCAACAAGUCUUCCUCAAUGAAUUCCUGGGUUAUCAGGUGGUGAAACAGACAGAAGGAGAGAGCAUUGGAACAUCAGAGAAGGGUGUGGACUUCGAGUCCCAGGAGCAGGAUCCAAUAGAGAAGAACCAAGUGUGAUGUCGAGUCUACUAGACAGGUUCCUGGAACAAGAGUGUAAGACAGUUGUUGUUUUACUCUGAUGCUUUUGCAAAAGUGAUUCAUCUUCAGAGAGAUUCAUGGAGAAAACUCUGAAAAGUACUAUAGAAUACAGGUUUCUGAAAAGUUUAAGGACAUACUACUGACUGGGUAAGAAUUUCCAGAGCUCUAAUGGAAAAACUAGAUUCAAGUAGAACAAGAAUUAAUAACAUGGGUUGAAUGAACUGAUGGGGAUGAUUAUAAUUUUUAUGACUUUUUAUGUGAAACACUG